CCUACGGGUGGCUGCAGUGAGGAAUAUUGGUCAAUGGCCGGAAGGCUGAACCAGCCAAGCCGCGUGAAGGACGAAGGUGCCAAGCAUUGUAAACUUCUUUUGUCAAGGGACAAAAUCAGGCUCGAGAGCCUGACCGAGGGUACUUGAAGAAAAAGCAUCGGCUAACUCCGUGCCAGCAGCCGCGGUAAUACGGAGGAUGCGCGCGUUAUCCGGUUUUAUUGGGGUAAAGGGGUGCGUAGGCGGGCUGUUAAGUCAGCGGUAAAAGCCCGGGGCUCAACCCCGGCGAGCCGUGGAAACUGGGUGUCUUGAGAAGUCGAGAGGCAUGCGGAAUGCGCAGUGUAGCGGUGAAAUGCUUAGAUAUUGCGCAGAACUCCGAUUGCGAAGGCAGCAUACCGGCGGCGAUCUGACGCUGAGGCACGAAAGCGUGGGUAUCGAACAGGAUUAGAUACCCUUGUAGUC
rnacentral:rRNA from 1 species